CAUAUUGGCAGAUUAAUGCGCUAGAAUUAGAAUCUAUUUAUCA
rnacentral:tRNA from 1 species